ACUCCAUAGUGAAGCCCACCCGCCCGAAGUACACCCGAGUCCCGAACUCGAAGUUUGGUCUGGAUUCUGGAGACUACGGCCUAUUCGAACGCGUCAUUCUCCAGUCUCUCCUCCUCCUUCUCUCGCCUUCUGCUGCUCUGCCCUUCCCCACUUCUCUCAGAGAUCAAGUCGUAUCUACUUCUCUUACUCUCCCUCUUCAGUUUGGGGCAUUGAAUUCAAUUGGAUUGAAGAAUGAAGGUUGCGGUCAAAUUCUAUUGCUCUGGUUGCGGUCAAAAGAGGGAUAGCUGCUGCUGUGCUAUCCACAACCAUGUUACAGAUUGGAAGGCCUUUCUGCAUAGAUGGACUCAUUAGAGCAUGCAAAGUAGUGUGUUGGUGUAUUCAAGUGAUGUUGGUGCACCAAUAGGUUCUACUUCCUCAUAAGUUCUAGCCCACCCGAACUUUCAUUCCUGGAUCCGCCAUUGACCACAAAGGAGCAAGUGUUGGCUUGUUUGUUCUCGACUGAAACUAGAUACAGAGCAACUACUCCUACUCACAAAUUUGACAAUAGCUUUCUCCAAAUCUAAGCUCAUUCCAAGGUGGACAACCGACACAAUGUGAUUCAUAAGGAGUGAAUCACAUGGUAAUACGAUAGGCUCAUUGCUUGAUACUCCGAACUCUUCUUCAGACAUUUUGAAAAGCUCUUGGAAAAUGUAGCUACCAAGAUAAGAUAAGGGAAGCACAAAACGCGCCUUGUCAAGGGUGUAAAUAACAAAAUUGCCUUUCGCUGCAGUAGUAUCACAUGACUUUCUACCAACUCCUCUCGGGUAUGAAAUUUUUUUGCUCCCUAUAACGUCAUUCAUCUGCCACUUUCUAGCCAUUUUAAUGAGCCUUUUUGGGCUGAGCAUCAUGUCCAUAUUUAGAUGCGGAUGAAGUGGCCUCGAGAAAUUGAGCAAGAAAGCAGUGGCAGCUUUGCAGGCAGUUGAAGUUUCUGUGUCAGAAUACUGAAUAUUGCUAUUGCUGUGAUAAUGAGAGAUGGAAAAACCAAUAGGGGUGGGUUAACUAUAUAUAUAAAGUUCUCUUAGGACCUUCAGACGAUUUAUAAAUGUAUUGCGGGCUUCUUGUUGUA